UCCCUGGUGGCUCAGAGGUUAAAGCAUCUGCCUCUAAUGCAGGAGACCUGGGUUUGAUCCCUGGGUUGGGAA
rfam:Ovis aries breed Texel chromosome 2, whole genome shotgun sequence.